GGCAGUUCUCGGGUGACACACCCUGGAAUUGGGCCCCUUCCUCUCUGGUUCCGGGUGUGUCACCUGAGAACCACA
rfam:Myotis davidii contig104668, whole genome shotgun sequence.